AAUCAACCAGCUCUAACAGGAUUGAAAAAUCUCUGGUCAACGCUCAAAGAACGAUUUAGCGAAUUUUCCAAGAAAAAUUCCAUUGGCAACUCAAACUAUGGCAAUCGUAUAAUACCCUUAUCCAGAAAUCAAAUGCUCGCAUGGAGAAGAAGUGGCCACAGACAGAAGAAUCGUUUUAAGCUCCUUCCGGUUUUAGCAAAACGCAGUGCAGAAAAUCAUUUCAAUUCAACAACUUUAAAAGAAAAAUUCGGAAAGGAGCCUUUAGUAUCGAGACGGAAAUUGUAUUCCCGGAUUGAGUCAUAUCUGGAAGGGAAAGGUGUUAAUGGCCGUGAAUGUGUCUUGAAGACUUUGUGCCAGUCGAAAAUGUCGUCAGAGCUGCCCAACACAUUCUUAUCGGAAAUCAUGAA